UAAAACGUAGGGGGCCAGCGUUGCUCGGAAUUACUGGGCGUAAAGGGUCCGUAGGCGGUGCGGCAAGUCGGAAGUGAAAUCUCUGGGCUUAACCCAGAGGCUGCUCCCGAAACUGCUGUGCUAGAGUGCGAGAGAGGCGAGUGGAAUUGCGGGUGUAGCGGUGAAAUGCGUAGAUAUCCGCAGGAACAUCCGAGGCGAAAGCGGCUCGCUGGAUCGCAACUGACGCUGAGGGACGAAAGCUAGGGGAGCAAACAGGAUUAGAUACCCUGGUAGUCCUAGCCCUAAACCAUCAGGACUUGGGGUUUGCCCUGUACGGGGCAAGUCCCGUAGCUAACGCGUUAAGUCCUGCGCCUGGGGAGUACGGUCGCAAGGCUG
rnacentral:rRNA from 1 species